rnacentral:rRNA from 1 species
AUUGAACGCUGGCGGCAGGCCUAACACAUGCAAGUCGAGCGAGUGGCGGACGGGUGAGUAAUGUCUGGGGAUCUGCCUGAUGGAGGGGGAUAACUACUGGAAACGGUAGCUAAUACCGCAUACCAUCGGAUGUGCCCAGAUGGGCUUAGCUAGUAGGUGGGGUAACGGCUCACCUAGGCGACGAUCCCUAGCUGGUCUGAGAGGAUGAUCAGCCACACUGGGACUGAGACACGGCCCAGACUCCUACGGGAGGCAGCAGUGGGGAAUAUUGCACAAUGGGCGCAAGCCUGAUGCAGCCAUGCCGCGUGUAUGAAGAAGGCCUUCGGGUUGUAAAGUACUUUCAGCCGGGAGGCGUUACCGACAGAAGAAGCACCGGCUAACUCCGUGCCAGCAGCCGCGGUAAUAC